CUUUCCCGGGCCUUGGCGGAGCUCCGGGACCGCGCAGGGCAGCGCCAGGAACACGAUGAACAGGAUGAGCUUCCGCGAGCGGCGGCUCUCCUGCAGCCAGCGGACCAGCGCCAGCUCGCUCAGGGCCAUGGCUCCGGGGCUCCGCUGCGGGCGCGGUGCGCGGGGUCCCUUUUAUAAGCAAAGGAGAAACAAACAGAUGCCCUCUGACAUCGCUGGAGCUCUGCAGGCCCUCCGAGGGGACCGUGGGAGCAAGAGCUGUUUUCUUGGAAAGCCACCUAGAAUAAAUGUUACCCUGUCACAGUCUCUUAGCAGAAGAGUGGCCUUGUUUUAUUAAUGUUAGCUUGUUGACAGCAGGAGGCCACUGAGAACAGCAGUGUGAUGUGUGGCUGCCCCCAUUCUCUCCACCUCCCUACUCCCUUGCAGAGACCCCCUGUGCUUCCCAUUGCUACCCCAUGUGUGAGAAGAGAUGGCUGAAUAGGUAAGUAGGUCAGGAACAUGGGUCUCCAGGAUGUCGCAGGAUGUGCACAACUUAAACAUUAAACAGGGAGGACAGAAGGAAAACCACUUAGGAGGAGGAAGCAGAUGGCAGAGAGCCGUUUAAGAUGGCAGGAGGGUAUCACUCAGGGAGUGCCCCAGAGUUCUUGCUCUGGAGUUUCAGAACCCAAGGAUGCAGACUCUACCCCAGGGACCACAUGGGGACAGAGA
rnacentral:lncRNA from 1 species